UUGUGAACCUUAUGGCAACAUCAGCUUGAUUUCUGUAUUUAUCUAAGUAUUAUUAUUAUUAUUACUGUAUGAUUAUUCAGUGCUCACAGUAGAUAUCAGUCAUGGGUUAGCUUGUGGUCCUUCAGGGUGGUAAGCACCGUGUAGUGUCCAACGUACACACUCGGGGCAUUACAAACUUGGUCUCAGAGCCUAAGGUUCAACAGAGUCCUAGGAAGUUUGAAAGCCAUAUCUAUUAAAGUCUUGUGCAUGGGUAUGU
rnacentral:lncRNA from 1 species